AAAAGACUGUACAGGUGGAACAAUCCAAAGUUUUAAUCAAAGAAGGUGGUAUUCAGUUGCUGCUUACAAUAGUUGAUACCCCAGGAUUUGGAGAUGCAGUGGAUAAUAGUAAUUGCUGGCAGCCUGUUAUCAAUUACAUUGAUAGUAAAUUUGAGGACUACCUAAAUGCAGAAUCGCAAGUGAACAGAUGUCAGAUGCCUGGUAACAGGGUGCACUGUUGUUUAUACUUCAUUGCUCCUUCAGGACAUGGACCGUUACAUAACUGAAGACUCCCACCUUCAGGCAGGAUUGGGUAGUACAUGUUUGUAACUACCUGGCAUUGCCUUUUGUUGAGACUUAAACCAUUGGAUAUUGAGUUUACAAAGCAUUUGCAUGAAAAAGUGAAUAUCAUCCCACUUAUUGCCAAAGCAGACACACUCAUGCCAGAGGAAUGCCAACAGUUUAAAAAACAGGU
rnacentral:lncRNA from 1 species